rnacentral:rRNA from 2 species
UACAGAGGUCCCGAGCGUUGUUCGGAUUCACUGGGCGUAAAGGGUGCGCAGGUGGGUUGGUAAGUUUGGUGUGAAAGCUUCGGGCUUAACCCGGAAAUGGCAUUGAAUACUACUGAUCUGGAGGAUUGGAGGGGGGACUGGAAUUCUUGGUGUAGCAGUGAAAUGCGUAGAUAUCAAGAGGAACACCAGUGGCGAAGGCGAGUCCCUGGACAAUACCUGACACUGAGGCACGAAAGCCAAGGGAGCAAACAGG